GGUAUUUGUUUGGGGAUGGUUUCACUAUCCCCAGAUGGAUACCAA
ensembl:miRNA